GACGAACGCUGGCGGCGUGCUUAACACAUGCAAGUCGAACGGAAAGGCCCUGCUUUUGUGGGGUGCUCGAGUGGCGAACGGGUGAGUAACACGUAAGUAACCUGCCCUGGACUUUGGGAUAACUUCAGGAAACUGGGGCUAAUACCGGAUAGGAGCUCUUGUUGCAUGGUGGGGGUUGGAAAGUUUCGGCGGUGGGGGUUGGAGUGGGGGCUUAUCAGCUUGUUGGUGGGGUAGGGGCUUACCAAGGCUUUGGCGGGUAGCCGGCCUGGGAGGGUGACCGGCCACAUUGGGACUGAGAUACGGCCCAGACUCCUACGGGAGGCAGCAGUGGGGAAUAUUGCACAAUGGGCGGAAGCCUGAUGCAGCAACGCCGCGUGCGGGAUGACGGCCUUCGGGUUGUAAACCGCUUUCGCCUGUGACGAAGCGUGAGUGACGGUAAUGGGUAAAGAAGCACCGGCUAACUACGUG
rnacentral:rRNA from 1 species